rnacentral:rRNA from 1 species
UGUCUUUUUGAGAAUAAUUUAAAGUCUAAUCUGCCCACUGAUUAAUAUUGAAGGGCUGCAGUAUAUUGACUGUACAAAGGUAGCAUAAUCAUUAGUCAUUUAAUUGAUGACUUGUAUGAAAGAUUGGAUGAGAUAUAAACUGUCUUUUAUUUAUUUAUAAAAUUUAAUUUUUUUAUUAAAAAGUUAAAAUAAUUUAAAAAGACGAGAAGACCCUAUAGAGUUUUAUAAAUAUAUUAAAUUAAGAUUAUAAUGUAAUAUAAAUUUAAAAUUUAAUUAUUUAUUUUAUUGGGGUGAUAAAAAAAUAUAAAAAACUUUUUUUAUGGUUAAAACAUUGAUAAAUGAUUAUAUGAUCCAAUAAUAUUGAUUAUAAGAAAAAAUUACCUUAGGGAUAACAGCGUAAUUUUUUUUUUUAGUUCGAAUAAAAAAAAAAGUUUGCGACCUCGAUGUUGGAUUAAGAUAAAGUUUAAAUGUAGAAG